rnacentral:lncRNA from 1 species
GAGCGACCAGAGGAAAGAAACAGGGACCAAACCCUAGUUCUUGAACUAUUUCAUCAAAUUCAGCCCUCAAAUCAAACGAUCCUGAAUGCAUGUAGCCGAAUUCAGCCCUCUAUAACAUCAUCUCUUCAUAAGGCAACUCGGGUGAAGCUUCGGGGAGUCAAGCUGGGGCAAAUAAAAGGUUGAAGGAAAAGCCAUAAGUUUUUAGGUAAUGCAAGCUCAUGGAUGAAGGUCAAGUCAAUGCUUCCGAACCGAACACAUCCAAGAUCUCAUUCCGCAACUUUUGUUAUUAUUAGUUGUUAAUGAAUCUAUUGUAA